rnacentral:lncRNA from 1 species
CCUGUUCCUCCUGAAGGCGUAUGAUCUGACCGGCAGAAGCUCAUGCCUUGCAAUAUGUUCGUCCAGCUUUAACUUUAUCAACCCCUCUAUAGACUUAAACAGGGUGUUUAUUAAGCAAAUGGGUCUGUAGUUUUGGAAGGAAGCGGGGUCCGCAUUCUUCUUGGGGAUUGGUACCACCUUGAUUCUACGCCAGACCUCUGGGAUGUUGCCACUGAGCCAUACCCUGUUUAUAAUUUCAAAGAUGUUAUGCUUUUUCGCCACAGGAAGUUGCUGCAGCAUCCUGAACGAAAUGCCAUCUGGGCCUCUCGCCGAAUUUGGGUUCCUGGAUUUCAGGAAGGACAGAAAUUCCCCCAUGUCCAAAGGUUCGGGGUCGCCUGGUCCAAUCAGAUUUGGAAUGAUCUCUGGGGGUCUACUGCUUGCAGUGGAGGGGAUGUCUUUGACCAUUUUUAGGAAGCCAUUGUCGUUUUCGUCUGUCCAUGUGUUCCCUACGUUUUUGACUUGUCCGUAUUUCUUAAGGUUCUUUACUCUGCUCCACAUGGAGGGCGAAGAGGAAACCUCUUCUAGGAACUUUGAGAAGUUUGACCUUCUGCAUUUUUUAAUCUCAUUUUGCAGGUUGUGGUCGGCCUCUAUGGUGGCCCUGGCAUCAUCAAAUUUUUUGGUGUAAUAGUAUUUUUGCCUGCACGCAUUUCUCACGCGAAACAGUCUCUCUAUACCCUCGUUCCACCAUUUUUUGGCAAUAUACUUGUUGUUGCUAGGAAUGGUAACUGUGUUCUUACUGGUCAGGGAUUUGACCUUAUCGUUGAGCUCUUGUAGAUUGGUAAAACUGCUUGCUCCUAAAAUACGAUUUAUUCUAUUGUGCAGCACUUUCUUCUCUUGAAUGGAGGCAUCUAACCCUUCGACUGUUAUGACGAUUGGGAAGUGGUUGCUGUUGGUUAUCUUGGAUUUAAGGGCUUGCCAGUCGAUUCUACCGACCCUGUGAUUAGAAAAGGUGAGGUCAAGAACAGAGGAUUGGGAAGGGUUCCUGGAAAACGUUGGAGAUCCGUCGUUAAGACAGAUAAAACCCGCCUCACGAGUAGCAUUCUCGAUGCUGCGACCCUUGCGGUCACUGGAAGGGUUUCCCCAGAUGGAAGACUUGGCGUUGAAAUCUCCUCCUACGACUGAAGGGUAGUCUAGGGACUCCGCAAGCUCGAACACCUUUUUAAUGCCCGAUUUGAAUUGGGAAAGUGUCGUUGAAGGCGCAGCGUAUGCGCUGAAAAUGUUAAGGUUGCUUUUGAGGUUCAGGGUUUUAAUACCUACGAUCUCUAGAUCACAGUCUAUUUUCAGAAUGCUAAAUCUAAUUUUCUUUCUAAUAUAGAUUCCUACUCCGCCGUAGCCGUCUUCUCUGGGCUUGCCGAUGAAGUUGUAAUCUAAGAUACUGCAGUCGGCAUUAUUUACAACCCAGAUCUCCGAAAGGAUUGCAAUGUCUAUUUCGUUGUUUAUUAGAAACAUAUUGAGGAGCUGUUUGUUGUUGUUGUAAGUCAGACUUUGAAUGUUUAGUUGUAGAAUCUUCAUUGUUUUUUGUUAGAGUAUCCCGCUUCCACCCCUUGCACAAUUUGCAAACGGUCGAGAUCAGCAUUGGAGGAGUUAACAUACUCCAAGAUCUGUUGGAAAAACUUCUUCACCAAAUCCCCCUUGGAAAUGUUGAUGGGUUCCACCAGGAACGCUGUAAGCAUGGAUCCCAGUGCGUUAAGCUUUUCCUGGGCCACAGAUGAGACCCCGGAAGUUGUUCUCACGAAUUUCUCACUUAACUGUGGGCUAUCUGCGUUGAUAGCGUUCCUCCAUUCUGCCAUGUUGGCAGCUGCCUUAGCCGACUCCGUAUUGCGUGCUGCCGCUCUUUUGGCUUUGGUCACCUCGGCGAACGAAGCAACCGAGUGAAUUUCCCUAGCUGCCUCAGUGUUGCUGUUUUGGCGUUCGGGGAGGAUGCCGUUUUGCCAUGUGGGUGGGGGAAACUCCCCUGGGUCCCCUGGGUUGGGUGGAGAUCUACCAAAGAGUACCGGGUACCUAGCCUUGACCUCAGAUCGUGAUAAUUUUUCAAGCGUCAUGCUUUUUUGAAUAGCAUACGCUUUCCUUCUGGCCUCGCAUUGCGGGUGCGUAGCCGCGUGGUUUCCCUUGCAGUUAGCACAGCUUAGCCCCGAGCAUAGAGUGUUGGUGCUGUGGUCCCGACCACAUUUGAAGCAUCUAGGCAGGCUCUUGCAGUGCUUCGCCAUAUGACCAAACCUGAAGCACCUGAAGCAUUGGCUAAACUGGACGAAAGGUUUUACUGCUACCUUGGUGUAUAGGAACUUGAUUUCCUUGGGCAGCUGCUCCCCUCUAAACCAUAGUUUGACCCUGCCGGUGGGUACCCUAUCCCCCGAGGUUCUGUCUGUUCUGUAAAUCCGUUGUAUUCCCUCUAUGGGGACGUCCGAGAUGAUCAGCUCCGAGAGCUGCUCCUCCGAGUGGUGGCCAGGGAUCCCAAAGAUUAGACCCGCCCUUUGCACAAAGUGCCGCAAAAUUCGGGGAGAGUACCCGUGGGCGGCGAAGGCACUGUUUUCCACAAGUCUGUUUGCACCGUCGGCCGACCUACAUACAAUCUUGCACCUGCCAUAGCCGACCCUCGCGACCUCCUCU